rnacentral:rRNA from 1 species
UAGGGAAUCUUCCACAAUGGACGCAAGUCUGAUGGAGCAACGCCGCGUGAGUGAAGAAGGUCUUCGGAUCGUAAAACUCUGUUGUUAAAGAAGAACACGUAUGAGAGUAACUGUUCAUACGUUGACGGUAUUUAACCAGAAAGUCACGGCUAACUACGUGGCAG